GGGGAAUUUUGGACAAUGGGCGCAAGCCUGAUCCAGCCAUGCCGCGUGUCUGAAGAAGGCCUUCGGGUUGUAAAGGACUUUUGUUAGGGAAGAAAAGGCUGUUGCUAAUAUCAGCGGCUGAUGACGGUACCUGAAGAAUAAGCACCGGCUAACUACGUGCCAGCAGCCGCGGUAAUACGUAGGGUGCGAGCGUUAAUCGGAAUUACUGGGCGUAAAGCGGGCGCAGACGGUUACUUAAGCAGGAUGUGAAAUCCCCGGGCUCAACCCGGGAACUGCGUUCUGAACUGGGUGACUCGAGUGUGUCAGAGGGAGGUAGAAUUCCACGUGUAGCAGUGAAAUGCGUAGAGAUGUGGAGGAAUACCGAUGGCGAAGGCAGCCUCCUGGGACAACACUGACGUUCAUGCCCGAAAGCGUGGGUAGCAAACAGGAUUAGAUACCCUGGUAGUCCACGCCCUAAACGAUGUCAAUUAGCUGUUGGGCAACCUGAUUGCUUGGUAGCGUAGCUAACGCGUGAAAUUGACCGCCUGGGGAGUACGGUCGCAAGAUUA
rnacentral:rRNA from 1 species